CCUUCGGGUAUUGAGGAUGGCGGACGGGUGAGUAACGCGUAAGGAACUUGCCUCUUGGUCUGGGACAACUGUUGGAAACGACAGCUAAUACCGGAUAUUAUGAGAUUCUCGCAUGGGAAACUUAUGAAAGCUAUAUGCGCCAAGAGAGAGCCUUGCGUUCCAUUAGCUAGUUGGUGGGGUAACGGCCCACCAAGGCGACGAUGGAUAGCCGGCCUGAGAGGGUGAACGGCCACAAGGGGACUGAGACACGGCCCUUACUCCUACGGGAGGCAGCAGUGGGGAAUAUUGGACAAUGGGCCACAAGCCUGAUCCAGCAAUUCUGUGUGCACGAUGAAGGUCUUCGGAUUGUAAAGUGCUUUCAGUUGGGAAGAAGAAAGUGACGGUACCAACAGAAGAAGCGACGGCUAAAUACGUGCCAGCAGCCGCGGUAAUACGUAUGUCGCAAGCGUUAUCCGGAUUUAUUGGGCGUAAAGCGCGUCUAGGCGGAAAAAUAAGUCUGAUGUUAAAAUGCGGGGCUCAACUCCGUAUUGCGUUGGAAACUGUUUUUCUAGAGUACUGGAGAGGUGGGCGGAACUACAAGUGUAGAGGUGAAAUUCGUAGAUAUUUGUAGGAAUGCCGAUGGAGAAGUCAGCUCACUGGACAGAUACUGACGCUAAAGCGCGAAAGCGUGGGGAGCAAACAGGAUUAGAUACCCUGGUAGUCCACGCCGUAAACGAUGAUCACU
rnacentral:rRNA from 1 species